GGCGACGACGGGUAGCCGGCCUGAGAGGGCGACCGGCCACACUGGGACUGAGACACGGCCCAGACUCCUACGGGAGGCAGCAGUGGGGAAUAUUGCACAAUGGGCGGAAGCCUGAUGCAGCGACGCCGCGUGAGGGAUGACGGCCUUCGGGUUGUAAACCUCUUUCAGCAGGGACGAAGCGCAAGUGACGGUACCUGCAGAAGAAGCGCCGGCCAACUACGUGCCAGCAGCCGCGGUAAGACGUAGGGCGCGAGCGUUGUCCGGAUUUAUUGGGCGUAAAGAGCUCGUAGGCGGCUUGUCGCGUCGAAUGUGAAAUCUCAGGGCUCAACUCUGACAUUGCAUUCGAUACGGGCAGGCUAGAGUUCGGUAGGGGAGACUGGAAUUCCUGGUGUAGCGGUGAAAUGCGCAGAUAUCAGGAGGAACACCGGUGGCGAAGGCGGGUCUCUGGGCCGAUACUGACGCUGAGGAGCGAAAGCGUGGGGAGCGAACAGGAUUAGAUACCCUGGUAGUCCACGCUGUAAACGUUGGGCGCUAGGUGUGGGGACCCUCUCCGGGUUUCUGCGCCGCAGCUAACGCAUUAAGCGCCCCGCC
rnacentral:rRNA from 1 species